rnacentral:rRNA from 1 species
UAGACUUGAGAAUGGACGAGGUAGGCGGAAUUCGUAGUGUAGCGGUGAAAUGCAUAGAUAUUACGAAGAACUCCAAUAGUGUAGACUGCUUACCAGACCAUAUCUGACACUAAGGCACGAAAGUGUGGGUAUCAAACAGGAUUAGAUACCCUGGUAGUCCACACAGUAAACGAUGAAUACUAACUGUUUGCGAUAUACAGCAAGUGGUCGAGCGAAAGCGUUAAGUAUUCCACCUGGGAAGUAUGCCGGCAACGGUGAAACUCAAAGGAAUUGACGGGGGCCCGCACAAGCGGAGGAACAUGUGGUUUAAUUCGAUAAUACGCGAGGAACCUUACCCGGGCUCGAACGAUAUUUGAAUACAUCCGAAAAGAUGUAGCUAGCAAUAGCAAAUACCGAGGUGCUGCAUGGUUGUCGUCAGCUCGUGCCGUGAGGUGUCGACUUAAGUGUCAUAACGAGCGCAACCCUUACCGAUAGUUACCAUCAGAUAAUGCUGGGGACUCUAUUGGGACUGCCACCGUAAGGUGUGAGGAAGGAGAGGAUGACGUCAAAUCAGCACGGCCCUUAUGUCCGGGGCGCCACACGUGUUACAAUGGGAGAAACAAAGGGUCGCUACCUGGCAACAGGAUGCUAAUCUCGAAAAUCUCUCCCAGUUCGGAUUGGAGUCUGCAACUCGACUCCAUGAAGCUGGAUUCGCUAGUAAUCGCACAUCAGCCAUGGUGCGGUGAAUACGUUCCCGGGCCUUGUACACACCGCCCGUCAAGCCAUGGAAGCUGGAAGUACCUGAAGUAUGUAACUAAAAGAGCGUCGUAAGUAAUCUGNG